ACGCUCGACACCUACGGUAGGCAGCAGUGGGGAAUAUUGCACAAUGGGGGAAACCCUGAUGCAGCAACGCCGCGUGAAGGAAGACGGUUUUCGGAUUGUAAACUUCUGUUCUUAGUGAAGAUAGUGACGGUAGCUAAGGAGCAAGCCACGGCUAACUACGUGCCAACAGCCGCGGUAAUCUGAGCGGGCUGGCAAGGC
rnacentral:rRNA from 1 species